UACAGAGGUCUCAAGCGUUGUUCGGAUUCAUUGGGCGUAAAGGGUGCGUAGGCGGCGGGGCAAGUCUGAUGUGAAAUCCCGGGGCUCAACCCCGGAACUGCAUUGGAUACUGCCUUGCUAGAGUACUGGAGAGGAAACUGGAAUUUACGGUGUAGCAGUGAAAUGCGUAGAGAUCGUAAGGAAGACCAGUGGCGAAGGCGAGUUUCUGGACAGUUACUGACGCUGAGGCGCGAAGGCCAGGGGAGCAAACGGG
rnacentral:rRNA from 1 species